GGUGAAUUGGUGUAGGGGUAGCAUGCGGCCUUGUGGAUACUCGAGAAAUCUAGUCAACAACUCGGCCUCGACGGCGGUUCGAUUCCGUCAUUCGCCA